rnacentral:rRNA from 1 species
AGUAACGCGUGGGUAACCUGCCUCAUACAGGGGGAUAACAGUUAGAAAUGACUGCUAAUACCGCAUAAGCGCACAGCAUCGCAUGAAGCAGUGUGAAAAACUCCGGUGGUACAAGAUGGACCCGCGUCUGAUUAGCUGGUUGGUGAGGUAACGGCCCACCAAGGCAACGAUCAGUAGCCGGCCUGAGAGGGUGAACGGCCACAUUGGGACUGAGACACGGCCCAA